AAAAGAAGAAAAGGAAAAAAAAAAGAAGAGGCCGAAAACGAGUUGCAAGUGGUUUUAAAAGAAGAGGUUUGAGAGUUUUAAUUUUUUGGGGGGUUUCUCUUUUCUUUUCCUUUUUCUUUUUUCUUUUUUCUUUUUUCUUUUCUUUUUGUUUGAAUAAAACUUUUUGAGUUGAACAACAAAAGUCUUUCACCUUCAUUUAGUUUAAAUCUUUUUG
rnacentral:ribozyme from 1 species